rnacentral:lncRNA from 1 species
AUUCUAGCAAUUUACUUGUGCUUCCUGCUCAAUCUACUUGGGCAUGUCAUUACUGUGUGCUGGGACAUGUUCAUCCUGCUAAAUAUCAUCUACAAGCUACACUCCUCAAGUUUGGACAUUGUUAGUCAGUUGCACUGCACCAGACCAAUCUGACCGGCCUGUCCGGCAGCAAAAACUUAAGUGGUUUGAAUUUGGGUAAAAAUUAUCAAUUCGCCUAUUCACCCUCCCCUCUAGGCGACAUCAAGAUCCUUUCAACAAUGUAUAUCCCAAUUUUCAAAAAUCUAAUGAAAGUUUUAUGUCAAGCUUA